AGUGUGCGUCACAUAGUGAUGGAGUUGCUGAAAUAAACAGGGAAGUCCUGAUGACUGUGUUGCACAUGGGGACCAGACAGACAUGGAUGUGAGGAGCAGUUUGCCCCGUUGCUGAAGGCGUUUCGACAGCAUCGCCACGCUGCAGCCCAGUCAGCAAACAGGCAGCAGAAAACAAAAGUAGAGGCUUCACAGCAAAGUGUGAUGGACUUGGGGCAAUUACACCUAAUUGGGUCUGACUGGUUCCCUUUUGCUCCUCAGUUGAGGGUGACUUGGCUGGAAGUCGGGAUCAGAGUGAUGCCAUUGCUCCUGGCGUCUGGUGAACUCGCACUAAGCACUUUUUAUUCGCUUGGUUUCUUCUUGACCAACCGUCAGACUCGCAGGGAACCGCCUCAGUGCUUCACAGUUAGCGCUGCCGCCGCCAUGCAAACGGCAAAGAAAGUAGGAUCUAAAACCACCGCUGCUCAAAGGACGAAAACAUAAUCUAAUAUGGCAACAGAUCAAAUCAGCUACAGCGCUAACAGGUUUAAACGGAUGAGACGCAACCAGACUCCCCAGAAUGGGACCACGGCGCUUUCAAAGUGGUCUCAUCUACGAAGUUAGACCUGGAGACGCAGACGCCGGUGCUGGAUUAUUCGCACAUUAACGACUUUUUAUUGGAGCUUUCGGACCCGGCCGCCCUCCCUGCGCUUCUCAUAUCUCCAUCUGUGAACAUCUCUCAGCUGAGCCGAGCUUUCAGAGGCGAGAAGCGGGAGUUUCUCUGUCGGUUCGGAAGAGAAAGACGCACAAGAGGAACAGCGACACUGAAUCAAAAAAUAAAAUAAAAAAUCUCUGAAAUCUCA